UACGGGGGGAGCAAGCGUUGUUCGGAUUUACUGGGCGUAAAGGGCGCGUAGGCGGCCAGCGCAAGUCAGUUGUGAAAUCUCCGGGCUUAACUCGGAACGGUCAACUGAUACUGCUCGGCUAGAGUGCAGAAGGGGCAACUGGAAUUCUCGGUGUAGCGGUGAAAUGCGUAGAUAUCGAGAGGAACACCUGCGGCGAAGGCGGGUUGCUGGGCUGACACUGACGCUGAUGCGCGAAAGCCAGGGGAGCGAACGGG
rnacentral:rRNA from 1 species